rnacentral:rRNA from 1 species
AGCGAACGCUGGCGGCGUGCUUAACACAUGCAAGUCGAACGAAGGCUUCGGCCUUAGUGGCGGACGGGUGAGUAACGCGUGGGAAUCUACCUUACGGUGGGGAAUAACAGCGGGAAACUGCUGCUAAUACCGCAUACGUUCUACGGAAGAAAGGCUUCGGCCGCCGUUUGAGGAUCCCGCGUCCGAUUAGCUAGUUGGUGAGGUAACGGCUCACCAAGGCGACGAUCGGUAGCUGGUCUGAGAGGAUGAUCAGCCACACUGGGACUGAGACACGGCCCAGACUCCUACGGGAGGCAGCAGUGGGGAAUAUUGGACAAUGGGGGAAACCCUGAUCCAGCGACGCCGCGUGAAUGAUGAAGGCCUUAGGGUUGUAAAGUUCUUUCGUCCGUGACGAUGAUGACAGUAGCGGAAGAAGAAGCUCCGGCUAACUUCGUGCCAGCAGCCGCCGCAG